GUGAGCGUUUGCUGGGGGCUGAUUGCCACUUACCAAAAAGGGCUGUCGAAAUUAACAUCAUGGGAGUUUCAGUAGAGAAAAAAAACAAAGCUUUUUCCUCAGCAUUUUGAGUCAAGCUGAGGGCGAUUACUGCUCAGUUCUGCAUUCUCAGUAUCUACUUGUUCCUAAUACAUUGAUGGAGUGCUUCCCCACUGCUCCGUAAAUUAAAUUAACCCACGCUGAUGAGCUGAGCAGCUCCCAUGUCAGCAAAGUCAGGAAAUCAUGCAGGACUCCAAGCAGCCUCAUCUACUCCCAGUGCUGUACCAGGAGCCCCAUCACUGGGAGGGCACAGCAAACCCGUAUGCCCCAGGCAGAAAUUCCCAUGAUUAUUUCCAACUCAUUUCCAGGCUGAUGGCUGCUGGUCCUGAAGAACCACAGAAUCACUAAGGUUGGAAAGACUGCUAAGAUCAUCACACCCAACCCCAGCCUACCCCACCAUGCUCACUAACCAUGUCCAUCACUGUCACAUCUCCAUGUUUCUUGAGCAUCUCCAGGGACAGUGAUUCCCCCACCUCCCUGGGCAGCCUGUGCCAGUGCCUUGGAUGGAAGGCCCUUGGACGGUGACCAAGAUGCUGGCUGUCGUGGUGGUCCUCUUCGCCCUUCUGUGGCUGCCAUACCGCACACUGGUGGUGGUGAACUCCUUCGUGGACCCCCCGUACCUCAACAUUUGGUUCCUCCUCUUCUGCCGGAUGUGCAUCUACCUGAACAGUGCCAUCAACCCCAUCAUCUACAGCCUGAUGUCGCAGAGAUUCAGAUCUGCCUUCAGGAAGCUCUGCAGGUGCGGAUGGAAGAGCACGGAGGUGCCCACACCACGCAGCGUCCCGGUGCUCUAUAGCAGAGCAAAGGAUGGCUCUCAGGGCAGCUCCGAGCAGGGCACCCACCAGGAUGACCUGAACGGUCCCCAUGCACCUGUGAGAAGCAGGGCUGCCAUGCACACACCGGGACCCUGACACAACGCAGGCAGCAGGAGCUGUGCGGCUGUGUGCACCACGCUGGGAAAGUGCCAACAGAAAUUGCUUGGGCAUUGCAACAAGCUUAAGUUAAUACCUCUCCAGGGCAUUUAACAGAACAGAUUCUUGGAGGCAAAAUAAUUUGCUUUUCCUUAAUGCUAAUUUAUUCUUGCGUGUUGAAGCGUUAGGCGCAGGUCAAUGUUCAGCAUCUCUAAAGAAUCUGUAGUUAAAUAUAGCAGUGCAACGCCAUUCUGUGUUAUGUGCAAGUGCAGCUGCUUGUUGAGUCAGGCCAGAGCAUGGGAAGGAAAUGCAGGAAGAGAAGGGCAGUCAAGGAAAACCUGUUGCCAGAGCAGAUUUCCUAGAGGGUGAGCUUCCCCUACCCAAACGUAGGAGGCUUCUGACAUGAGCUGCUCCUCCAGGGGUCUGUUGGAGUUAGCAGGACAAUGUGGCACUUUGUCCUCUCAUUCCAGGAAGAGAUGAAUGCACUCCUCUGGUGUGUUAUUUCCUUCCACCAACACCAAAGGGACCACUCUGCCUCUCCGAUGGAGACUCGUGCAUUACACGUGGCUGAAGCUGGGUGUCAUGAACCUCACCCCGUGCUUCUGUGCCAUUGCUGUGCCAACCAGCCCAAGGACACUUGCCCCAGGCUCACAAGCGACUCUCUGGACUGGGAGUAAAAUGUAAGAGAUCACACAGGAGGCAGAUGCCAAGGCUCCUGCCAAGCAAAACAAGAGGCAGCCACCAGUAACCCUGAAGUGACCGCACACCAUUCUUUGAGCAGCCAGUUCAGCCUCAGCAUCCACCACUGCUUCACAACAAACCAGAGCGUUUAAUCAGAACUUUACCUCUGCUUAGGAAAAGGUCUGUGUGACAUUUCAGAGCGGACACAAUCUUAAAAAACCUUUUUUGUGUCUAUGGGAAAUAACUGCCCUGGGCAAAGAGACCUCAUUCCAUGCAGGGAAGGGUUCAGGGUCUAUUUUGUUUCCGUGUGGCGUGGCUUUGCGUGUGUGAUUAUUAUAUUGUGAAUUAUUAAAUCAUCUAUUCGGGCUCAAAAGAACCAUAGGAUGAGGAAAGAGAGCACUGGUUUUGCUGGUAUUGAGGAAACAGUGUUUGUGUGGAAAUGGAGGUUUCAUAUCACAUAAUUUUGGUUUAUUUCUGAAUACUGGAUCUCGAGGAGCAAAGUUCCUCAUUAUUCGAAAGGAAGCUCUGCACAGAAAUUUCAGAGUUCCUUCGUGAAGAGAAGGGAAAUCCCUUUGCUGCAGUGCAAGAAGAGCACGACCCUUAAAGGAACGAGAAGUGAGCAAUUUGCUGCUAACGGUCUUCUCUAUCGCAGUGAUGUCUUCUCCCCUUAGUGCUGGAAAUUGCUUGCAAGAACCGUGUGCUCAGAGAGGAGAAGCGGGCUGGGGAUGUGUGCUCUGUGCAGAGCAGCAGAAAGGCAGCCCUGUCCUGCAGCCACACGGGGUGAGAAUUCAGUGCCUGAGCUGCAGAGCCCUCCUGUGAGCUGAGUUGGGGCACUGCUCGGCAAUGGGGCGCAGCCCAGCAAUGAAACAUCUCUGCAAACUCAUUUCUGUCUCCCCGUCACAUUUCCAGGCUCUGAAAUUUUUGUUUGGCAGAUUUGAGGUGCAAGUAAAACUCACUUCUCUUUUCCCCCUUCUGCCCUUAUCUGCCCAGGUACGGCGUGACUCUUUGCUAUUUCUCUAGAAGUAAUUGGCAGAUAAAUUCUCCAGAUACCACGAGACCUCUAGUAAAUGCACCAUUCUGCAGAUGAGAGCUCCUGAUCCUUCUCCCUGCACAUAUGCUGACAUGCUGGGACAGUCUGAGAGUGUUUUAGGUGGAACAGUGUUCCAUGUUUUAGGUGAAGAACAGCAUUCAGCUUGCCAAGGAGAUGCUGGUGGAGAGAAUGGGUAGCUGAACACUGCCGGGACAUAAAUCAUCAGUAGGAAGGAAUGACCAGAAAUACCUCUGAUGCUGAAGGCUCCAACUGAUGGCUCCCAGGGGAGCUUUGGCUGGAUGGAGGCUGAAGCCUCACCCCGGCCCUCCUCAUACAGGGCUGAAGGCCAGGAGGAGAUGCUCCUGCUCCCUGCAUAGACGGAUGGCGGAGUACGACUGUGCUGUCCCCGGGCUGGACAGGUCACUCUCAAAGGACAGCAGGGCUCAGAUUGCACCUUUCACCUCCCACCAGUGCUGCCCUUUGGUCACAGGAUCAGUGCCUCUGUCCCUAUUCUCAUGUCGAGCUGGGAGCGGUGCAAGGGACAUUACCCAAAAGCAGCAGCCCCUGAGGCAAAGCCCCAAGCACUGUUCCUUCACCCUGGGGAAGGGGCACGCUCAUCUUUUCUCCAUUACUAAUAUUUUUGAAGCAAUACACCAUCGCUCCAGCAGGAGACCCACCUCCCUGAUGCCUCCACACAUAGCCAAAGAUCUGCUCCAUUCAUCAGCCUGAGAUUGAUGAGGUGCAAAGGGCUCUGGUUACCCUGCU